GCUUUAGAAGAGGACAUUCAACUGAAUUGGCUUGCUUUGAUUUAGUUAAAUAUGUAUCUGAAAGCCUGAACAGCAAAAUACCAAUAUUGUCAAUAUUUUUAGACUUAAGUAAGGCCUUGAAUGCUAUGGGAUUAGAGGAGUUGCACUUGAUUGGAUAAAAAGCUACUUGUCACAAAGAAAACAAUGUACUGAAGUAGUAAAAAUAGAAAAAGUAGGUAAGAGUUUUGGUUAAAGCCAAAUAUCGUUCAGAUUUUCGUGAGGUACAACUAGGUGUUCCUCAAGGGAGCAACUUAGGUCCCCUAUUGUUUUUAGUAUACAUCAAUGAUCUACCACGGGCAAUCUCGCAUAAGUGUAUACUAUUUGCAGAUGACACAACUUUAUUAAUAUGGGGUGAGAAAGUUGAUACAUACGAGACUAUCGUAAAUAAUGCAUUGGUUGACAUUAACAAUUGGACAUGUAAAAAUAAUUUAAAUAUCAA